CACUUUUCACUCGGUUAACUUAUACGAAGGCAUAAACAGGUAAGAAGGAGAAAAAGGGAAGGUGGUAUAAGGGUUAACUUGUAUGAGGGGUAUUUGAACAGCCUACGCCCAGUCUAAUCCUGCCGUAUGCUUGGUAUCAGAAAUUUAGGGAAUGGACAGGGAUUUGAUACCCCAUUACUCCUAGACGUAAAUUGAUGCCUGGGAACUACGAACCAUUGUUUAAAACCCAAAGGACCUGGCGGUGAUACAGAUCAAUCUAGGGGAGCAUGACUGUUAAUUCGAUAGCCCGCGAGAAUCUUACCUUUUCUUGUAGUCAGCUUGUAUACCGUCGUUGUCAGUUUUCCUUGUAAAGGAAGGGAAGGAGACUCAAACUACAGGAGCUUUAAGGCGGACGAAAGUCGCAUAGCACUGCUAGAUGACUUCAGAUAAACGUGCAGCUUAUGGAAAGGGCUUAGUUUUGCUACAAUUCUAUUAGAACACAGAGCUCGCAAAGUAUCCUUUGAAAACGGGAGGCGAAGGUGGACUUAGCAGUAAACAGAAUUACAUUGAACAUAAGUGAUUGUAUCGCGU
rnacentral:rRNA from 1 species